GGGCUCGUAGCUCAGCUUGGUUAGUGCACUGUUUCGUGCGGCUAUAGCGCUUGUCUUAUAAACAAGUGGUCCUGGGUUCAAAUCCCAGCGGGCCCA
rnacentral:tRNA from 1 species